rnacentral:tRNA from 1 species
GGCAGUGUAGCAUAGUGGUUAAGGAACAGGACUCGUAAUCAAAAGGUUGCUGGUUCGAUUCCCUACUGGGA